rnacentral:rRNA from 1 species
UCGACUGCAUGAAGUCGGAAUCGCUGUAAUCGCAGAUCAGCAAAGCUGCGGUGAAUACUUCCCGGGCCUUGUACACACCGCCCGUCACACCACGGGAGUCGGUCGCGCCUGAAGCCGGUGGCCUAUCAGUAAUGGGGGAGCCGUCUAUGGCGAGAUUGGUAACUGGGGUGAAGUCGUAACAAGGUACC